UGAACAUCUGGAACUGCUCAGUUAUCUGACCACAGGAGAAAUGAAUUACAUAAUAAGAAGUAAAAGGAAGUAUUCUGCCAUGUUUGUGUUGCCAACACUGGACCAUGCUGAGCAGACCUGGAGAGCAUUUAUUUCUAAGCAAAGUCAGCAAUAUACGAAAGAAGAAAUGUAUAAAGUUUUAAAAAGCCCAGCUGAAAGCUGCAUCAAUGAAAUAUAAACCCAGCACAAAGAAGUCCGGCUUCCUUCCUAGGUGGCCUUCGUCAGAAUAAAUGAUCUGUGGCACACUGAAAUGAAUCAGCAGAGCUCAUGGAGACUGAAACGUGAA
rnacentral:lncRNA from 1 species